CAGGUCACUCCUACGGGAGGCAGCAGUGGGGAAUUUUGGACAAUGGGGGCAACCCUGAUCCAGCCAUCCCGCGUGUGCGAUGAAGGCCUUCGGGUUGUAAAGCACUUUUGGCAGGAAAGAAACGGCGCCGGCUAAUACCUGGCGUAACUGACGGUACCUGCAGAAUAAGCACCGGCUAACUACGUGCCAGCAGCCGCGGUAAUACGUAGGGUGCAAGCGUUAAUCGGAAUUACUGGGCGUAAAGCGUGCGCAGGCGGUUCGGAAAGAAAGAUGUGAAAUCCCAGGGCUUAACCUUGGAACUGCAUUUUUAACUACCGGGCUAGAGUGUGUCAGAGGGGGGUGGAAUUCCACGUGUAGCAGUGAAAUGCGUAGAUAUGUGGAGGAACACCGAUGGCGAAGGCAGCCCCCUGGGAUAACACUGACGCUCAUGCACGAAAGCGUGGGGAGCAAACAGGAUUAGAUACCCUGGUAGUCCACGCCCUAAACGAUGUCAACUAGCUGUUGGGGCCUUCGGGCCUUGGUAGCGCAGCUAACGCGUGAAGUUGACCGCCUGGGGAGUACGGUCGCAAGAUUAAAACUCAAAGGAAUUGAC
rnacentral:rRNA from 1 species